GAUGAACGCUGGCGGCGUGCCUAACACAUGCAAGUCGAACGGAGUCGUUUUGGAAAUCUCUUCGGAGAUGGAAUUCUCGACUUAGUGGCGGACGGGUGAGUAACGCGUGAGCAAUCUGCCUUUAAGAGGGGGAUAACAGUCGGAAACGGCUGCUAAUACCGCAUAAAGCAUUAAAUUCGCAUGUUUUUGAUGCCAAAGGAGCAAUCCGCUUUUAGAUGAGCUCGCGUCUGAUUAGCUAGUUGGCGGGGUAACGGCCCACCAAGGCGACGAUCAGUAGCCGGACUGAGAGGUUGAACGGCCACAUGGGGACUGAGACACGGCCCAGACUCCUACGGGAGGCAGCAGUGGGGAAUAUUGCGCAAUGGGGGAAACCCUGACGCAGCAACGCCGCGUGAUUGAAGAAGGCCUUCGGGGUGUAAAGAUCUUUAAUCAGGGACGAAACAAAUGACGGUACCUGAAGAAUAAGCUCCGGCUAACUACGUG
rnacentral:rRNA from 1 species